rnacentral:rRNA from 1 species
CAGUAGCCGCGGGAAUACGAAGGGGGCUAGCGUUGUUCGGAUUUACUGGGCGUAAAGCGCACGUAGGCGGACUUUUAAGUCAGGGGUGAAAUCCCGGGGCUCAACCCCGGAACUGCCUUUGAUACUGGAAGUCUUGAGUAUGGUAGAGGUGAGUGGAAUUCCGAGUGUAGAGGUGAAAUGCGUAGAUAUUCGGAGGAACACCAGUGGCGAAGGCGGCUCACUGGACCAUUACUGACGCUGAGGUGCGAAAGCGUGGGGAGCAAACAGGAUUAGAUACCCGCGUAGUCCCUGUCUCUUAUAC